UCUAGACUUGAGACCUAUUAAAUCUAGAUCUAGACGACUUAGACUUAACUUAAGUGAUUAACAUUCAUGCGUUAUGACUAGAUUUACUGAUUUACUAUUUAGAAUAGAUUCUAGAUCUAGAUUCUAGAAUCUGCCAUGAAAUGGCUAAUGCAUCUGCAGCAUAGAAUUAGAUUUAGUUAAGGACUUACUAGAUCUUAAAUCUAAAUCUACUACCUUUUAACUUUUAGGGCAGAAUAUUAGAUCUAGUCUAUAUGCCUAUCUAGUCACGUAACUGUAAACUGUAAACUAAUACUUAGACUUAGGACUUUGGACACUUUGAGUUGAAGAUAUCUACUUGGUAGUCUAAACCUCAAAGGAGCUUAGGGAAGUGAUGGCAGUUGCAGGGUAUGAACCAGACGACCAUGCAGAGACCAACGAGGCGACCAAACAGUCCAUCGUGCAUACCACAUAACCAGGUCCAGAAUGCCAGUUUUCUUUAAGGGCAGCUGACAAUAAGAAUUGUCUAUGUAUGCACUACAGAUGCUGUUCAAUAUCUUUUCAUGAGGAAGCCUGCUCAAAAAGAUCGCCACAUUUUCUUUAGGGGAAGUUGACAUUAAUCUUUUAGGUUAAUAAUAACCUAUGCAUGCAGUACAGAUGCUGUUGAUCUUUUCAUAAGCAAGCCUGCUCAAGAAGCUGCUGCAUGGAAGUCAAAAUAUGAAUUAUUGCCACCAGUCUUGAAGUCAGCUUGUAAAGAAUGCUAAGAAUUGAAUGAAAAUGCUGUCUUGAUAUCUUGUUUGUGCUGUUAUAUUUGUCUUUUGUGUUGGUUAAUUAUUCCAUGAAUAAAAAAAA